AUAUUCACUUUGGCAGUAUGUAUACUAAAAUCAAAAUAAUAUAGAAAAGAUUAGCAUGGUUCAUGUACAUAACAUGCAGAUUUGAGAAGCAUUCCAUAUUUUU